CCUACGGGAGGCAGCAGUAGGGAAUAUUGCUCAAUGGGGGAAACCCUGAAGCAGCAACGCCGCGUGGAGGAUGAAGGUUUUCGGAUUGUAAACCCCUUUUGUCAGAGAAGAUAAUGACGGUAUCUAACGAAUAAGCACCGGCUAACUCCGUGCCAGCAGCCGCGGUAAUACGGAGGGUGCAAGCGUUACUCGGAAUCACUGGGCGUAAAGAGCGCGUAGGCGGGAUAGCAAGUCAGAUGUGAAAUCCUAGGGCUUAACCAGAGGACUGCAUUUGAAACUGUUAUUCUAGAGUGUAGGAGAGGUAGGUGGAAUUCCUGGUGUAGAGGUAAAAUGCGUAGAGAUCAGGAGGAAUACUCGUGGCGAAGGCGGCCUGCUGGAACGUAACUGACGCUGAGGCGCGAAAGCGUGGGGAGCAAACAGGAUUAGAUACCCCUGUAGUC
rnacentral:rRNA from 1 species